rnacentral:lncRNA from 1 species
UUACUAUCAUAUGGUUUGGUUUGGAAUAAAAUAUAUUUUUUUUAGUGAAUUAUUUUUAAAAAAUACUUUUUACUUUAUUAAUUUUUUUUAUUAAAAAAUAUAAAAUUAAAAGAAUAAUAUUUUCUUAACAAAACCCACUCAAACCUUUUAUAUAUGACUUUAUUUGUCCUCUUAUGAUGUUUCAUAUUGAGAUUCGUGUUUUGGUUAAUCGAAUCACAACAAAUACUAUAUUUUCCUGAAUAGUUUUUAAAUUUUUUUUACACAAUCAAUAUCUCAUUAGUUUUUUGUAUAUAAAGUUUUUAAAAUCAUCAAAAUAUAUAACUUAAAAAUUAUAGACAAAUUUUUGGGAGAUAUCUAGAAUAAUCAUUGAUGUUUUGGGGUUUAAAUCCACACAUACUGAAUGAUCUGAAUGAACACGUCCGCCUCGAAACACCACGUUAUCAACAUUUGUUAAUGGUCACAAUUGUACCUUGAGGAGCAUAUUGCCUCCACAAAUGUUCAUAUCGCCAAUCUCUAUGAUAUUACCAUAUCAUCCAUCUCGCCAAUGUGGGCAGUGACACUUCGCCUGAACAAGAACUCCGCCUCCUAAGAAAAUCUAGUUCCAUGAGAUCUUUCUCGGUCAUAUCUUCCUAUAAAAUCGCGAUUUAUUCCUUCGUCUGGCAUCCGUCCUAAUAUUCCUCGCUAUCUCCGGGAUCUCUUUCCAUACUUAGCCGUCCGAGGAAUCCACGCCAUAAUCUUUUUUGUUUCCUCACAACAUCCGACUUUUGCAUUCUUCCAACUAUAAAAAGGGUCUCUCCCCCUCACAAAAAGGUAAUCUCAUGCAAUCAUCAGACUAGACCCGUUGCAAUUUCAUUUCUUAGAGCUUGGUCUUUGUUUAGCCGAUCUUAUUUUUGCCUUGAUCUACUUCCCACGCACGGAGGAGUUUUAAGCAGCCCACCCCGUCGGUAAUAGUUGUUCUAUCCUGCUCGUCCGCCUAAUCCUUGCCGAUAUCAAAUACCAGUCACAGCAAUUUGACUAGCUGGUUUCUCAUUCCCCGAAUUUUUACAACAACAAUAAUAAUAGACCAGCAAAAUGAAUGGAUGGAAUAAUUGGGAUUUAGAAGCUUUCAUAUAAAUAUUUUAUUCCUUUUGUCCAAGAUUGAACAAAUGCAUAUUAAUGAGAAGAUAAAAAUAGUUCACUUAACAACAAUAUAAUCACUCAUGAUCAUAGUUACCAGAACCGUACAAAGCCGGCCGGUUCAACCGGUUGAAGCAAGAACUGGACCAUGAACCAGUACGGUUCAAUUAAUUUACCAGAAAUGCAUGUGGACCUGAUUGAACAGGGUGAACCGACCGAUUUUUUGGAAAACCAGUGAACCGGCCAGUAUUUAGUUAACCGACCGAUUUUUAAAAAAAGUUAAAAAAAAAAUUGCACAAGAUUUAAAACCAUUUAUUUUUUUAAAAACAUGUCUUUUAUGAUUUUUUGAUGAAAAAAAAAAGUAAAUCUUCAAUGAAAGUCAAGAGAGGAAAAAAAAAGAGAAAAAAAUUACUAGUUUAAAUAACGCACGGUUUUCUCUUUCUUACCUUGGUACUCAUUUUUAGAUAUUUAUUAUAUUAUAAUUAAAUAUAUGAGAAUACCUAUUAUCAAAAAUAAUUCAAUGUAAAAAAGAUAACUAUAAAUUAAAAAAUAGGAGGGUAAGAAGAAAAAAUAAAAAAUAAAGGUCACAUAAAUAAUGCCACAUUAUUAGCUAAUAAUACACAUAUUGACAAACUUUAUGUUUUUUUUCUUUUAAAUAUAAAAAUACCAAUAGUAAUAGUUUUAAAAAUAUUUAAAUGGAAAGAAACAAAGUCGGCACUUGAAUGUUUUUAUAAUUAUAUAUUUUUUACUUUUUUAAGAUAUUUAUUAUUUAUACUUAUGUUGAAUUAUUGUAUGAAAAUAGUAUCUUUUAACCUCGAUUGAGAAUUUUUAAUGCGUUAUUUUUAUUUAAAUAUAUUUUUAUUAUUUGAUUUAUUAUAUAACCGGUUGAACCAGAAACCGAUACCUUGACUAGUUCAAUCGUCGUUCGGUUCGAUUCCAAUAACUAUGCUCAUGAUUCAAUCUUCCCCCAAAUUUCGCAUAACAUAUACAUACUUUCCUUCAUCUAAUUCAAUCAAGUAACUACGCCCUCUAAAUUUAAAAUUUUACAAUUGGGGGGGGGUUUCGUUUCAAUGAAAACUUACUAGUCAUACUUUUUUGGAAAAAUUACAGGGAAAAAAUAGCAUUUGAGCUUGCUAACCUAUAAAUUCUAAACUUUUAAUUUAACAAUCAAACUCCGAUGACUUUUUAACUUAUCACAAAUCCAACAAUCCAUAGCUUUCAUUUAUUUAUUUUUUGAUAACUCUGUAUUCGGCCCAAAAAUCGACAAAUGUGAAACACGUGAAUUCUACGGGUAAAGCAUGUUUGGCAAAACACAACCAAACAAAAAUCCUGUGUUGGCAAUGGCUUGGGUGUUCUUUAUUCUAUUUGCACUUGGAGGUUAUGAAAAGAGAAAUUAGACAAUUGGCCUAAGAAGUAAGAAAGAGCCGACUCGGGCGAAGACUUAAUUGGUGAGAGUUAUUUAAGACAUAAUUUUAAUAUUAUGUGAGAAAGAAUUGAGAGAUUCAACUUAAAAUAAAUUGAUAAUAAAUAGAGUAGUCUCAAAAUUAUAUAUAUUGAAUUUUAUUAUAAUCUUUUAUAAUUCUUUAAAAAUAUAAUCUACUGCGAAAAAUUAAGUUGAUCAUAUACCAGUAGUCACAUAAUCAAAUAAUAUUUGUCUUAUAGUGUAUUGUGAGAGUCAUAUUUUGUUCAUUUUUUUCAAAACAUACGUUUUCAAAAUAUGUGGCUAUUAAUAUCUGAUUAAUCUUUUUUUAUUAACAAGUUCUACUAAAUUAAUAAUUUGAUCAUGAAAAUAAACCAGCGAUGGGUCCAAACUCAUAUUUUGUAUGCCAUAAGCUUAAAAAACUGUCACUCAAAAUUACCCUCAUUUAUAAUUAGCUAAAAUAGUUGAGUUCAUUAUUUUGACCAAUCACAAAUAAAAAUAGUAUCAUUUUUAGAUUUUAAAAAAAUAAAAGAAAAUCUGUGGAAUUGAAAUAGAAAACGCUAAUCAGCGGUGUUUAAAGGAUAAAAAAUAUAUUAAUCAACGUAAAAAAUAUAUAUAUAAAUAUAUGCAUAAAUGUAUUAAACUAUAUAGAAAAUAUAUUAGUAACAGUAAAAAAUUGUGAAUUAACCAUCAAGACUUUGGGUUGUUGGGAUGGGUGGGAGGUGUCUGUCAAUAUCAUUUUAAAUAUGUAAAUAUUAUAAAUUUCAUUGUAAAGAUCAAUAUUUAAUAAAUAAAUAUGUCAUUAUAAUUGAUAUAAAUUGGCAUUGAUCGAUUAUAAAUUUAUAUUUAAUUAAUAUAAUUUUUUAUAGUAUUAAUAUUAUUGAUAAGGUUUACAAUAUUAACAAUUUGAAUCUUCAAAAUGAACUCAAAAUACUUAGAUUGCACCGAUAAAAUCUAUUUUUGGACCUGAUCCUUUCUUAAAUGUGUCAAUUUCACCAAUCACUGUGUAGUUAUUCACUUUCUAUGUAAAAAAAAUUCUUUCCGAAAUUAUCUCACAUUUGUAAUCUAUUCAUUCUCAUUUUCUUUUAUUAUUAUAACAGUGGCGGGUGGGGGGGUGGAGUUGCCCUAUUUGAUCAUGGCACUCCACCGCGCUCUGUAUUUUUUCCUUCAUGGCAUUCUACAUGUACUUUGAAAGGUCAAAUGUCAUCAAUCCACAAUCAAUGAGAAUUGGGGGAGAUAGUUUUAUGGAAAUAAUGGCUACUAAAUAUAAGUAGGGAGAAAUAGAAGAAAAAAAUAUCAAACAAUUAUAAAUUACCGUGUUUUUAAACAAACUUUUUUUUUUUAUAGAUCUAUUAGUUGUAAUUUGGAUUUUUUUUUUGAAAAGUGUUCGUACUUAGGGAGUUUAUACUUUUCAAUCAAAAUUUCAUACUUUUUUUUCGUUCUUGGUUUCUCCUACGAAGUAGUUUUUGAAAAUGUAAAAAUCUUCACUAUUUUUUUUUGGGUGGUGAUAUGACAAAAUCUUAUCUAAUUUGAGUAUUGUUUAGUUCACUAAAAAAAAAAAAUAAAAUACUUUAUCAUAAAAUCCUUUUCCUAUUUGCACUAAAUCUUUUUACAUUUGUCUUGGUAGGAGGAUUAAAAAGGAAAACCUUACUAAAACGAUAAAAAAAUCUAUUAAAAAAAUUAAAAAUCAAAACAGCUAAAAAAAAAAGUAGGCCAAACUUGGCCAAGUAUUAUAGUUUUUAUAAGUUAAUUUCAUAAUUAUAACUCUUUAUAUCCAAAAAAUCGCAUCGCAUGACAACACAUGACAUUAUUAGGUUGUAUUUGGAUGGAGGAUUUAGUGACGAAAAAUAAAAUAAAAAUAAAAAAUUUAGGAAAAUCAACCUGACUCAUUAGAUCUUUUAACUUUUAUGUUUCCAUUUCUUUUUUUCUCGGCAAAAAUCUUUUAUCCAAAAAGCCUAACAAGGAUAUCACAAAUAGAACCACUUGCACAAUUUCACAAAUUAUUUCCCAAAUUAUUUUAACAAAACACUCGUCUAUUUGAAUUCCAUGCACUCGAAUUUAUUAAAACAAACAACUAUAUAUGCAUAAUAAUUUGAAACCCUAAAAUAGCAUAGCCGUCAAGACAAUUAACUGCCUUAAAAUAGAUAAACUAGAAAUAACAACGCUAACUACCGCGAACGACGAGGCCAUAUUUACAAAGUCCACACGAAAUCGGGUGCAUCAGUCUGUGGUCCAUCCAGGAUCCAAGAAACACACAACGUUCCAAGCUUCAGACUAUCGUCGUUAGGAUAAUCUCCUGCUCGAUCCUGAUCCCGUUUGUUUAUUAUCUCUACGCUCAAUAAAGACAUCUUCUUCGCGAGAAACUUGCAACGUCCCGAAGUAACUUCAAGUGAUUGCAUCCAAAGGAAUCACAGCAUUUCAUAUCUUUACACAUUAGCUUAGAAUGCAUUAUCACCCAAAAGCAACGAGCCCAGAUCUCGAAUUUUGAAGAUUUCUUCCCCAAUUUUAAGGCUUUCGCUGUUCCCCGCCUAUGUGGUCGAAAGCAUUUCUAAAUAUCGGCAUACAUUCAUGCUUUCCAUCCUAAUAGUAAAGGGAAUUGAACCUGGAGUGAACCAACAAGUACUACAAACUAAGUGCUGCACUAUUGUGGGAUGAAGUACUAAGAUCAAAGUCAGCCUUCAAUAAAUACUUAAUUAUAAAACGGUGUAGAGUUUUAAUCUUCUUCACAUCACUUUCUUCUUCGUCUUCUUCCUUCUCUAAUGUCCUGACCAAUUCUUCUGGCCCG